UGCCUAGGAAAUUGCCUUGAUGUGGGGGAUAACCAUUGGAAACGAUGGCUAAUACCGCAUAAUGCCUACGGGCCAAAGAGGGGGAUCUUCGGACCUCUCGCGUCAAGAUAUGCCUAGGUGGGAUUAGCUAGUUGGUGAGGUAAUGGCUCACCAAGGCGACGAUCCCUAGCUGGUCUGAGAGGAUGAUCAGCCACACUGGAACUGAGACACGGUCCAG
rnacentral:rRNA from 1 species